UUUAAUAGUAGCUAUGACAGCGUGAUAGAGUAUUAUCGGAGGGGUUUCUAAUAUAGUUAAGGUAGUUUGGAAAGUGACACUUAAGCUAAACCAGAGGAAGGGAGUUCAAACAGCCGGCAGCUAAGCCUGGAACCUCUGACAGAGAUGGGCGCUCCUCCCUGAAAUACUUCUGUAUCAAAGUCCUAUCAUGACCUACAGGAUUUGCUGCUAGCCAUUUCUCCAAAAUCAUCUCACAGCACCUGAUCAAUCUUCUCUAAAAAUAAAUCUUUCAGUAGUAAA